rnacentral:rRNA from 1 species
GAUGAACGCUGGCGGCGUGCCUAAUACAUGCAAGUCGAGCGAACAGACGAGGAGCUUGCUCCUCUGACGUUAGCGGCGGACGGGUGAGUAACACGUGGAUAACCUACCUAUAAGACUGGGAUAAUUUCGGGAAACCGGAGCUAAUACCGGAGAAUAUAUUGAACCGCAUGGUUCAAUAGUGAAAGACGGUUUUGCUGUCACUUAUAGAUGGAUCCGCGCCGCAUUAGCUAGUUGGUACGGUAACGGCUUACCAAGGCGACGAUGCGUAGCCGACCUGAGAGGGUGGUCGGCCACACUGGAACUGAGACACGGUCCAGACUCCUACGGGAGGCAGCAGUAGGGAAUCUUCCGCAAUGGGCGAAAGCCUGACGGAGCAACGCCGCGUGAGUGAUGAAGGUCUUCGGAUCGUAAAGCUCUGUUAUUAGGGAAGAACAAAUGUGUAAGUAACUAUGCCCGUCUUGACGGUAACUAAUCAAAAAGCCACGGCUAACUACGUG